rnacentral:misc_RNA from 1 species
AACCAUAGAAACCUGCGGAGUACCUGCGGAAGGAUCAUUACAGAGUUGCAAAACUCCCUAAACCAUUGUGAACGUUACCUAAACCGUUGCUUCGGCGGGCGGCCCGGGUCCUUCCCGGCGCCCAUCGGCCCUCGCGGGCGCCCGCCGGAGGUAAACCAAACUAUUGCAUUGUAUGGCCUCUCUGAGUCUUCUGUACUGAAUAAGUCUAAACUUUCAACAACGGAUCUCAGAUCGGAAGAG